rnacentral:lncRNA from 10 species
CGGCUGUGAUGAGGCGCGGGUCCCGGCCCCCAGAUUGUGAUGUCUCAGGGGGCGGUGGGCCGGGUGACGCAACUGGGGGUGGGCCCGUGGGUCCCAGUACCUGGUCCAGGAGGCAGCGUCUCCCUCCCGUCCGGGAUAAGACACCCCCUCCGCGGGUCCCCUGUCCACUCUGGAGAGGCAGCCCCCACUUGGAGGGACCAGGACCCGAGCCCUGCCCAUCCCCGAAUCCUGGGAGCCCUGCGUGGGGAGUGUCGAGGGCCUGGGUCGGGGGGCAAACUAGUGUGGAGCAAUGAAUCCCGGAAACCCGGCUGCUCACUAAUUACCCAGUAACUAUGGAGGUCCCCCGAAGGACAGACCUGUGCCCUUGAGGCAGGGCCCUGAAGGAGGCCAACUUUAAUGGAGGACCUAGCAAGUGCCAGGCAGCAUUCUGAGCCCUGGAAUCCGGUGAUGAACAUGACAGACAAGAUUCCUGCCCCCAAGGAGCUGCACCUUAAUAAGUCCCGCAAUGAAGGAGACAGAACAUAAACAGAGGAAAAUACACAAGAUGCCAGCUUGUGAGAAGUGCUAGCAAAAAAAGACACAAGUAUGUCCAGAGAGUCUGAGGUGUAUACAGGUAUACAGAGUUCAAUUCUUCUGGGGCAGAUGGCAGGAAAACGUUCUAAAAAUAAGUACCAUGUUUUUAGUAGAAGCCAUGUCAGAGGCUUGAUGUGCAUUUUUUCUAACUUGUACAACAAACCAUGAGGUAAACAACAUUUUCCUACUUUGUAGAUGGGGAAACUGAUGUUGAGAGAAGUUGAGUCACUUGUCCAAGGUCACACAGCAGGGUGAGGGUGGCCUCACACUGGUGUGUCCCAAAGGGCAUCUGGUGUCCAGUGUUGUUCUCUUGGUAGAGGUGAUGAGGCCUAAUGAAGCCA